GUCCAGAGCCGAUGGCCAAGAAAGAAUUCUUGAGAUGUCUUUGGUGCAAAAAGGUGGUUUUAUUAAAGCACAGGGACGGACCAUGGGCAGGAAGAGCUGCAGCCCCGGGGCUGUGAGGUUGAAUGGGGAAGAGCUCGUGUAGCCACCAACGGGGACAGGACAGAGAAAACAGGCCCUGGAGGUGCCCUGGUGGGAAGCCGGCCACCGAAAAGCUCUGCUCUCCUCUCUGCCACCUGAAAGUCACUGUGUGAUGAGGUCUUUGUCUCGGAGAGUGGGGGCUGUUCCAGGGGCGCUGGGAGACCUGCCCACACCUGGAUGAGGGGCAUUGCGAGCUGGGCAGGAAUCCAGGCACAGGAAGUGUUUGAUUUCUCUUGGACCAGAGGAGUAAGCAUCGCGCUGGGCAGGUGUGCUGCUUUCCAGUCCUCCAGCGGCCCGCAUGCCUCACGUCCCCACGUCCCCGCCGAGGCCCCCCGAGGUCCCGCUGGUGCAGGAGAAAAGAAGCCGGGGCAUUCCUGGAGUGGAGCCAGGGGCCCGGGAGGGCGGACCUGGGGCCACCUGCGGAGGAAGUGACAAGGAGGGUGGGGAGCACCUGGUGGGGUAGCUGUUGCUGGGGCUGAAUUGUGUCACCCCCAAAACUCCCCCGUUGAAGUCCUAAUUCCAGGGUGACUGGACCUGGGGACAGGCCAGGUGGGGUGGUGUUGGUGGUGACAAAGGUUAAGUGAGGUCGUGAGGUCCUGACCCAACUGGGCUGGUGCCCCUGUAAGAGGACAAGGCCCGGGUCUCGCUCGCCCUGGACGGCCCCACAGGGAGGCGGCCUCUGCCUGGUCCCCGGAACCGGCCCUGCGGCGCCGCGAUCUUGAGCCUCAGCUUCCAGAAGUGAACGAGCUCCUCCCCGGGCCCUGCGGCACUGGGCCCCACCCUCGCCCGCCACUGCCUGGGCCGCUGGUUAGAGGUGUCACCCCACGGCCGCUGAGGCCCCAGCUCCGUCCUGAGAAUGGUUGACAGGUGCGCGCGGCUGAGAAGGGAGGACCUCGAGUCCUCACCCUGGAAUGCGGCCGGUUCUCCCUCCCUCCCGUGGGUCACAGGGCAGGUGACAGCCCAGUCAGGACAAAGGCCUUCUGUGC